rnacentral:rRNA from 1 species
ANUUUAACGCUGGCGGCAGGCUUAACNUAUGCAAGUCGACCGGUAACAGGGGAGCUUGCUCCUGCUGACGAGCGGCGGACGGGUGAGUAACGCGUAGGAAUCUACCUAGUAGAGGGGGACAACAUGUGGAAACGCAUGCUAAUACCGCAUACACCCUAAGGGGGAAAGGAGGGGACUCUUCGGAGCCUUCCGCUAUUAGAUGAGCCUGCGUGAGAUUAGCUAGUUGGUAGGGUAAAGGCCUACCAAGGCGACGAUCUCUAACUGGUCUGAGAGGAUGACCAGUCACACUGGGACUGAGACACGGCCCAGACUCCUACGGGAGGCAGCAGUGGGGAAUAUUGGACAAUGGGCGGAAGCCUGAUCCAGCCAUGCCGCGUGUGUGAAGAAGGCCUUAGGGUUGUAAAGCACUUUCAGGGGUGAGGAAGGGUAACUGGCUAAUAUCCAGUUAUCUUGACGUUAGCCCCAGAAGAAGCACCGGCUAACUCUGUGCCAGCAGCCNCGGGUUAAUA